GCUUAAACAAUAAAAUGAUAUCUAGACAUCUCAGAGCCAAAAAACAAUGCAGUGCACCCGUUCAUUCCAUUUUCAGAGUUAAAACCAUUACGUUAUAUUCUCCACCUGAAAUGAUGCCUCUAAUAAGUAUGAAAGAUAAAAAGUAGAGAGCAGUAUUAUCACAGAAUGUGAGACAGAGAGCAGAUAAAACUAUGGAGACCAAUCCAUAUUUUAGGAGUAAGCAUACUGGUUUUUUAAUAUCACUUCUGUCAUGGAUCACUUUUCUUUAGAUAGGUAAAUAGGAAGAAUAUGUAAUAUAUUCUAUUCUUAACUUCUGAGCAGAGACUUUCAUGAUAGAAAUAAUUUCAUAAUAUUCCCCAUGGAGUAAAGAGGAAAAGAAAAGAAAAAAAGGCCCCAAAUCUUCUCUCAUAAGGAGAGAAGAUUCUGAGAUUAAAACCUAUGUAUGUAGUAUUAUUUUCCCAAUAAUGGGGGUUUCAGGGAGUAAACUUCAU
rnacentral:lncRNA from 1 species